rnacentral:misc_RNA from 1 species
AUUACAACCAAAUGCCUGCUGCUGCUCCAGGGAGUAGUCAGCAACAUCACGGUGGUGCGUGGCGGCCUCCUCCUCCACCGGCCAACCAUGGUGGCCCGCAUCAACAUUAUGGAAAUAAGUAUUCGGCACUUGAUAGAAGAGGAAACGGGAGACCACCUUCUUCAGCACCACACUCCUAUGGCCGCAGGCAGAAACCAUACUAAGCUUAAUCCAAUGUACGUUUAAUCUGUAAGGAAAAUUAUUGCAUUUCAAUUAUUUUAGCCACCACUGACACAUUCCUUACCUUACCCCGCAUAAGGAAAAUUGUUG